GCACGCUCACAGGUCUGCAGUCUCUCAUCAGCGCUCUCCUCUCCUCUCUAACCCCUCUCUUGUCUCUCUCUCUCUCUCUUAGGUACCCCUCUAAUCACUUCGGCACGCUCACAGGUCUGCAGUCUCUCAUCAGCGUUCUCCUCUCCUCUCUAACCCCUCUCUCUUGUCUCUCUCUCUCUCUUAGGUACCCCUCUAAUCACUUCGGCACGCUCACAGGUCUGCAGUCUCUCAUCAGCGCUCUCCUCUCCUCUCUAACCCCUCUCUCUCUCCUCUCUCUCUCUCUCUUAGGUACCCCUCUAAUCACUUCGGCACGCUCACAGGUCUGCAGUCUCUCAUCAGCGCUCUCCUCUCCUCUCUAACCCCUCUCUCUUGUCUCUCUCUCUCUCUCUUAGGUACCCCUCUAAUCACUUCGGCACGCUCACAGGUCUGCAGUCUCUCAUCAGCGCUCUCCUCUCUCUCUCUCUCCUCUCUAACCCCCCUCUCUCUCUCUCUCUCUCUCUCUCUCUCUUAGGUACCCCUCUAAUCACUUCGGCACGCUCACAGGUCUGCAGUCUCUCAUCAGCGCUCUCUCUCUCCUCUCUAACCCCUCUCUCUUGUCUCUCUCUCUCUCUCAGGUACCCCUCUAAUCACUUCGGCACGCUCACAGGUCUGCAGUCUCUCAUCAGCGCUCUCCUCUCCUCUCCUCUCUCCUCUCUAACCCCUCUCCUCUCUCUCCUCUCUAACCCCUCUCUCUCUCUCUCUCUCUCUCUUAGGUACCCCUCUAAUCACUUCGGCACGCUCACAGGUCUGCAGUCUCUCAUCAGCACUCUCCUCUCCUCUCUAACCCCUCUCUUGUCUCUCUCUCUCUCUUAGGUACCCCUCUAAUCACUUCGGCACGCUCACAGGUCUGCAGUCUCUCAUCAGUGCUCUCUUCGCUCUGUUCCAGCAGCUGCUUUUCAUAGCCAUGGUGGGACCGCUGCACGGAGACCCUUUCUGGAUUAACCUCAGCCUCCUGCUCUUCUCAUUGGCCGGAUUCCUGUUGCCGGGAUACCUGUACUUUCACUGCAGAAACCUGGUCAAGGAAAUGCAAGCCAAGGACGGGACCAACCAAUCAGAAGAGGCUUUGAGGGGUCAUCAUAGCAACGGCCAACUGCCAAACAGUGACACCUAGUCAGGAACAUCGAGCCAAAGACUGACACUAACUAAUAAUAAUACUAAUAAUAAUAAUAAUAAUAAUACUAAUAAUAAUAAUAAUAAUAAUAAUAAUAAUAAUAAUAAUCUUUGUAAAUAUUUCUUGGGAAGUUUUAUCAAAUCUUUUUAAGGUUUGAAGAUGAAUUGAAAUCAAAUAUAUAUAUAUAUUUUUUAACAGAUCAAAUUUAAAAAAUAUUUCAGUAUUAUUAUUAUUAUUAUUAUUAUUAUUAUUAUUAUUAUUAUUAUUAUUAUUAUUAUUAAUUAGCUGGACUGUCAGCUAAUACUGCAUUUCAAACACAAAGACUACUUGAAAAGAAAAUAGUGUUUUUUAAACAGCUGCCUUUGAAUUGAAUGAAGCUGUCAAUCAAUCAAACUGAUCAGAAUUUCAAAAGCAAACGCAGGAAGCAAGUGGAGCAAAUGUUACAGGACUAGAAACAGAGACAGAGAGAGACAGAGACACACACACACCGAGACAGAGGGAGAGACACACACACACAGACACACAGACAGAGAGACACACAAACACAGACAGCCAGAGAGACAGACAGACAGAGACAGACACACAGAGAGACAGACAGACAGACACACACACACACACACAGAGUGAGAGACACACACAGAGAGAAACACACACACAGACAAACAGACACACACUACCGAGAGACACACAGAGACACAGACAGACACUACAGAGAGACAGACAGAGAGAGACACAAAGAGACAGACACAGAGGGAGACAGACAGACUGAGACACACAGACAAGCAGACAGACACACAGAGAGAGACAGAGAGACAGACAGGCAGACAGACACACAGACAGGCAGACAGACAGACAGACAGCUAGCUAAUUGCCCAGCCUCUCAUUCCUGUGCUUCUCCUUGCUCUGGGGGCUCCACAGUCCCACGCUGCGUCGACUGAAGGGAGGCUCAGGGGUUAGGGAUCAAAAUCAAAAAACAAACACUGAGGUCCAGAUUACUUUGAACUGUAUUAUAACAACAAGAAUAAUAAUAAUAAUAAUAAUAAUAAUAAUAAUAAUAAUAAUAAUAAUAAUAAUAAUAAUAAUAAUAAUAAUAAUAAUAAUAAUAAUAAUAAUUUUAUUUAUGUUUGCAUCGAAAAACCAAAAGAACAAAAUAAGGGCAUUUUCGAAGGUAUAGAAAAAAAGAAAUUAAAAGAAGGAGAAUGAUAAAAAUCAUUAAGUUCAGGGAGCUGCGUUGACGUAUAAAGUGAAGGGGCCACAAUUAUGAAGCCGGCUUUUCUGCUCUGGAGCCCUAAAUGUGUACCCUGUGCUGCGUGUGCGUGUGCGUGUGCGUGUGCGUGUCCUAGCCAAAACUUAAAACUGCCUCUGUCAGCUUCAAAUUAUUAUUAUUAUUAUUAUUAUUAUUAUUAUUAUUAUUAUUAUUAUUAUUAUUAUAUAUACCUCAGUUCUGAAAUGUCUAGCUGCUAUAGUCAGCAAUCUCCAAACACUGUGCUCUUGUGAAAUGAAAAAUCUGCAGUUUUAGCAUUUGGAAAUAGUUACAUGUUUCUGUAAGUAUUUAAGAACUUUGUAAAUAUAUAUCUAUCUAUCUAUCUAUCUAUCUAUCUAUCUAUCUAUCUAUCUAUCAAUCUAUCAAUCUAUCUAUCUAUCUAUCUAUCUCUAUCUCUCUAUCUCUCUAUCUCUAUCUAUCUAUCUCUAUCUCUCUCUAUCUCUCUAUCUCUCUAUCUAUCUCUAUCUCUCUAUCUAUCUAUCUAUCUAUCUAUCACAUAUCUCUCUAUCUAUCUAUCUAUCUAUCUCUCUAUCUCUAUCUCUCUAUCUAUCUCUAUCUAUCUAUCUAUCUAUCUAUCUAUCUAUCUAUCUAUCUAUCUAUAUCUCUAUCUCUCUAUCUCUAUCUCUCUAUCUAUCUCUAUCUAUCUCUCUAUCUCUAUCUAUCUAUCUAUCUAAAAAUAUUAAACUGUUUUUUUGGGGCUUUUUUGGAGCAUCAAUUCUAAGCUUUUAGCUUCAGUGUUUAAAAAAAAAAAAAGUCACACUGCCCCCUAGUGGAUGGAAGACGUAGUUCUUUAUUUCUCUCUCUCUGCUCAGUCAUUUUUUCCUUGUGCGUUUUCUCUUGAUAAAGACGUGUUAAACGCCCUGGAACUGUGGGCAGCCGUCUCUUUUGAGCAAAAGCUAUAUAUAUAUAUAUAUAUAUAUAUAUAUAUACCGCUUCCUGGCUUGUGACAUCACGGUAACCACACCCACUCGCCCCGUGCGCGUGCUGUGACGUCACGGUAACCACACCCACUCGGCCCGUGCGCGUGCUGUGACGUCACGGUAACCACACCCACUCACCCCGUGCGCGUGCUGUGACGUCACGGUAACCACACCCACUCGCCCCGUGCGCGUGCUGUGACGUCACGGUAACCACACCCAGUCGCCCCGUGCGCUUGCUGUGACGUCACGGUAACCACACCCAGUCGCCCCGUGCGCUUGCUGUGACGUCACGGUAACCACACCCACUCGCCCCGUGCGCUUGCUGUGACGUCACGGUAACCACACCCACUCGCCCCGUGCGCUUGCUGUGACGUCACGGUAGCCACACCCACUCGCCCCGUGCUGUGACGUCAUUGGCUGCUUCGUUCUCGGUGUGGCUCUGUUUAAACCUGCAGGCAUCGCGGGAUUCAGUCUGGGAGCCCCGUUUAUUAUCCGUCACUCUUCGUGUUGCAUUGUCUCGUUUCAUUUCUUCUGAAACUACAAACUGUAUAUUUAUAUGUUUAUAUAUAUUUAUAUAUACGCACAACACCAAAUUGCCUUAUAUUUUUUCAUUGCCAAAAUAACCAGCAAAUGAAUUGUAUUGUCACUUCCUGUUUAUCAAUUAUUAUUAUUAUUAUUAUUAUUAUUAUUAUUAUUAUUAUUAUUAUUAUUAUUAUUAUUAAUUAAUAAUCAAACAAACCAUUUCAAUUCCAUUUCUAAUUCCGUUUUAAAAUCAAUUCUCAUUUCCUUUAAAGGAACUAAAAUUCUGUCUCUCUGUGUCUCCGUCUCAGUCUGUGUGCCUCUCUCUGUAUGUCUCUCUGUGUCUGUCUGUCUCUUUCUCUGUGUCUGUGUGUCUCUUUCUCUCUGUCUCUCUCUGUCUGUGUGUCACUCUCUGUGUCUCUGUCUGUCUCUGUGUCUGUGUGUCACUCUCCGUGUCAUCACAAUAACUGCUGCGAUUGUUCAACCACGUUCAUUUCAAGACGAUUUUAAUUGACUGACAACCAGACAGACAGACAGACAGACAGACAGGCAGGCAGGCAGGCAGACAGACAGACAGACAGACAGACAGAUAGACAGCCAGACGGACAGACAGGCAGCCACGCAGACAGACAGACAGACAGACAGCCAGAAAGACAGACAGACAGGCAGACAGACAGACAGGCAGGCAGACAGACAGACAGGCAGCCAGGCAGACAGACAGACAGACAGACAGACAGACAGGCAGGCAGGCAGGCAGACAGACAGACAGAUAGACAGCCAGACAGACAGACAGGCAGCCAGACAAACAGACAGACAGAUAGACAGCCAGACGGACAGACAGGCAGCUACGCAGACAGACAGACAGCCAGAAAGACAGGCAGACAGACAGACAGACAGGCAGGCAGACAGACAGACAGACAGGCAGACAGACAGACAGACAGGCAGGCAGACAGACAGACAGGCAGGCAGGCAGGCAGGCAGACAGACAGACAGACAGACAGGCAGACAGGCAGGCAGACAGCCAGACAGACACUUCCUCAGUGUCAGUGAUUUGCUGGCGUUGCAGUGAGAGGCUCAUUUUAACAGAACGCCUCGGACUGCGAUGACGUGCUGGAAUCGAUUAGAAGGGGAAUUGGAAUUGGAAAUUGAUUUUAAAAACUCAGGAUUUCGAACCCGAGCCUGGCGUCAGCUGUAUUGCAUGUCUUUAACCAGCAGGUGCUUGUAAGUGAAUGGACUAUACGGGUCGGACGCAGACUUGCUCUGGAAGAGAUCAGUGUGUUUCUAGGUGCUAAAUAUAUUAGACUGUAUAAAUUCUCAACACUGAAAUGGAUAUGAAUUUCAAAAUCAUAUAGGAGCCUACAGCAGGCUCGCUGGUCCAGCGAUUAGAGAAAGGAGUCUCGAUACCAGGAGGUUCAAAUCCCGGCUGAGCCUCCGACUCCCUGUGUGUGUGUGUGACCCUGAGCAAGUCACUGAACCUCCUUGUGCUCCGUCCUUCAGGAUGAGACGUCAAACAAACGAGCUCCUAUUGGAAGUGACUCUGCAGCAGCCACUGACUCCCUGUGUGUGUGUGACCCUGAGCAAGUCACUGAACCUCCUUGUGCUCCGUCCUUCAGGAUGAGACGUCAAACAAACGAGCUCCUAUUGGAAGUGACUCUGCAGCAGCAGCAGCAGUUGUUGAUGAUGCAGAGUUCACCCCCCUAGUCUCUGGAAGUCACUUUGGAUAAAAGCGUCUGCUGAAGGACUCAUUCAUAAUAAUAAUAAUAAUGAAACUGAAGUGUUUGUUUCAUGAUUUCUGUGUGACGUUGUGAGCCGUGCUGGUUUGUGUUUUUUUGUUGUUGUAUUCAUUUCAAAACCAAUAAAAACCUUCUUCAAAA